GCCCGGCUGGCUCAGUGGGUAGAGCACGUGUUUCCUGAUCUCGGGGUCAGGAGUUCAAGCCCCAUGUUGCGCG
rnacentral:tRNA from 1 species